CCUACGGGUGGCAGCAGUGGGGAAUAUUGGACAAUGGGGGCAACCCUGAUCCAGCCAUGCCGCGUGUGUGAAGAAGGCCCUCGGGUUGUAAAGCACUUUCAGUGAGGAAGAACGCCUGGUGGUUAAUACCCAUCAGGAAAGACAUCACUCACAGAAGAAGCACCGGCUAACUCCGUGCCAGCAGCCGCGGGAAUACGGAGGGUGCGAGCGUUAAUCGGAAUUACUGGGCGUAAAGCGCGGCGUAGGUGGCUUGAUAAGCCGGUUGUGAAAGCCCCGGGCUCAACCUGGGAACGGCAUCCGGAACUGUCAAGCUAGAGUGCAGGAGAGGAAGGUAGAAUUCCCGGUGUAGCGGUGAAAUGCGUAGAGAUCGGGAGGAAUACCAGUGGCGAAGGCGGCCUUCUGGACUGACACUGACACUGAGGUGCGAAAGCGUGGGUAGCAAACAGGAUUAGAUACCCUGGUAGUC
rnacentral:rRNA from 1 species